rnacentral:rRNA from 1 species
GACGAACGCUGGCGGCGUGCUUAACACAUGCAAGUCGAGCGGUAAGGCCCGUUUCGGGGGUACACGAGCGGCGAACGGGUGAGUAACACGUGGGUGACCUGCCCUCAGCUCUGGGAUAAGCCUGGGAAACCGGGUCUAAUACUGGAUAUGACUCCAUGACGCAUGUUGUGGGGUGGAAAGCCUUGUGCGGCUGAGGAUGGGCCCGCGGCCUAUCAGCUUGUUGGUGGGGUGANGGCCUACCAAGGCGACGACGGGUAGCCGGCCUGAGAGGGCGACCGGCCGACACUGGGACUGAGACACGGCCCAGACUCCUACGGGAGGCAGGCAGUGGGGAAUCUUGCGCAAUGGGCGAAAGCCUGACGCAGCGACGCCGCGUGAGGGAUGACGGCCU